AAGUCAAGUCCAGAGUGAGACUCCCCAGGCCCAGCUGAUAGGGGCCGUGGGUGAGGGGCGGACACAACAGAGGUGUCUGAGCCCUCCAGGUUAAAGAUUGUGGAGGACAUGGAAGAACUACCCGGAGUUCUUUAUCCUAUCUUGAAUCUCUGCACUUCUGAAGGAAACUUGGGUGCUAUAAUGGUCCAAUCUUAUCCUUUUCAUUAUACUUUUAUAACAUAGAUCAUUAAAAAUUCUAUCAUUAAUUAC